AAUAACCUUAUUUUUCGUUUUUUCGUGUCCAACAUUUGACCAUUCGUCUUAUUUGAAUUUUUUUUGCAAUUAAUAUUUUUAUUGUAACUAGAUGAUAAAAUACGAAUAGUACUUUAUACGUGACUAUUUUUUUUAAGUUUGUAUAUAAAUUUUUCAAAUAAGACGAAUGGUUAAACAUUUGACACAGAAAAAC
rfam:Oryza brachyantha chromosome 2, whole genome shotgun sequence.